GGCGGGCAUGGCAGGGCCGCGCCGCUCCCCCCGCACUCACCCGCAGACUUGUCCGCCGCCAUCUCCGCUGCCGCUCCGUGCCCGACGACGCAGCCCGAGCGCGCCGGUAGUUGCCGAGAGUCCCCUUCGCGCUGCGCCACAGGCGCUGACCGACCUCAACCACCGCCGCCGCCGACACUCGGCCACUGCCCCCCCGGGACUACUUUGCCGCCGCCGCCCUGCGCGCGCCUGGCCCGCCCCGCCGAUGCGCCGUCCCCACCGAUUCGCCGCCGCUUCCGGGUUCCCAGCGCGCCCGCGACGUCCGGCCGUUACCGGGGCAGCGCGGACGUGACGUCAAGACGCCGACGGGGAGCGGGGAGGGGCGGGGCCGCCAUGUUGGCGUGUGGGGCCCGGGAGCGGCCGGGGGGGGCACUGGCCAGGGCUGCGGCGGCACGAAGCGCCCUGACCCUGCUGUCUCGGACGGGUUUUGUCUUUGCUGCCAGAAUGCUAUAUUUUCCUGGAAAAUUAUGGUGCAUCACAAGCUAUUAGUUUUUGUUCUGUCCGUGUGCAGUGAAUAAACCAGCAUAGGCUAUGUUUACUUUAGGAAGCCACUCAGAGCAGCAGGAGUAGACUGAUAGCUGUAAACAGCAGGAGCUGAGGUUCCUCACAUCUCCAGUAUACCCUCACACAGAAAUUAUUUUGCAUCAGGCCAUUGGACCCAUUAAAAAAGACAAUGUUUGGUCCUUCACUUCUUGCAUUGUAGAUACAAGCAAAAAGACUAUCCACCUCGAUCCUGAAACUGUUAUUCUACCCCACUAGGAACUUCAGGAAUGAACUUACUAACUUUAGUGGGGAAAGAACCUAAAGAAUCUGUUAAGGAAAGCAGGAGUCACUGAAGCAAAGAAGGAUCCACAUCAGGCAUUCUGUCCUUUGACAACAAGAAAAUACCAGCAUCCCUUUUGCAAUUUGGAAUUUCUGCUGUAUCAGUACAAAGACUUCAGAGAGAAAAUAUCUGGCAAAAGGAAAAGUGAAAAGCCUUGUCUCAAAGCUUCCAUUUUAUAUAUUACACAAUUUAACUUCUCUGACCAAGGAAGGUGGUGACUGCCAACUCUUCUUCCCUGAGAGCCAGAAGGAAUAGCAGAGCACAGAGGUAGUCAGUACACAUUUUAAUGUACUGCUGUCUCAUGCACUCUGGACCAUCAAGAGAAAAACUGUGUGUUACUUGUAAGGCUUCCACUCUAGUGAAUCUCAUCUGUUUGGCUCUCCUCCUAAUAAUACCAACCAGCACCCCACAAACAUGCUCAUACUGUAUUAGAAUAUAACAAUUUUGUAAAUGUGGAAAAGAGACACAUUUUUUGAAGUCAAUGACUGCAGCUAGCAAAAGCCACCUCAUACACUGCAGACCACUUGUGCAAGUCGAGGCCUUUUCGUCAGAGAAUACCUUUAUUUCAUGAACUGAUAUUAAGCUGAAUUUUUUUUUUCCACCUUGCACGUCCUUGGUCACCGGUAUUUUUCAUGUGACAAAGCAAAUGCUAAUUCUCUAUGGGCUGUAAGGGAAAACAGCUGCUAGUUAUAAUGGGGGUUUUGAGAGCGCUUGGUCAACCAAACUCCAUAGGUUUAAGUACCUCCAGACUGUAUUACAUCUGUCAAAGCAGCAGCAAAUACAACAUAAAAUGUAGAGUAGGUCCCAUUUUUAGUGUGUCAGUAGAAUCAGCCUGCAGUUAUUUUUAACUGCCUUGGAAAGCUUAGCAGGCAGAUACAGUUAAUCCUUUAAAGGAUUUGCAGGUAUUCAUAGCUUAAUAAGUAAGCAGAGUGGAUUAAACCAAUAGAAGAUUGUAGACAGUCAAAGACAACCUUUACAUGCUAACAUUCAAAACAUAAAAAGAACAGUUUCUUUUGUAUACUUUUUUU